rnacentral:rRNA from 1 species
AUGUCGUGGUGCACCAUCGAAUCCGAUCCCGGUGUUUUCACCGAGUUGAUUCAGGAGAUGCAAGUAAAAGGUGUACAGGUGGAGGAGCUUUACUCUCUCGAUGUGGACUCUCUUAGUCAACUACAGCCAGUAUAUGGGUUAAUUUUUCUCUUCAAGUGGAUGCCUGGAGGAAAUGAUGAACGGCCUGUUGUCAGCGACCCAAACCCAAACCUGUUCUUUGCUCGCCAGGUGAUCACGAAUGCAUGUGCCACUCAAGCUAUCCUCUCAAUCCUCAUGAACCGCCCAGAAAUCGACAUAGGUCCAGAGCUAUCAAACCUGAAGGAGUUCACAGGGGCUUUCGCGCCUGACAUGAAGGGCCUGGCUAUCAACAACAGCGACUCCAUCCGGGCUGCCCACAACAGCUUCGCAAGGCCAGAGCCAUUCGUCUCCGAUGAGCAGAAAGCCGCCACCAAGGACGACGAGGUCUACCACUUCAUAAGCUACAUACCAUUCGAGGGCGUCCUGUACGAGCUGGACGGGCUGAAGGAAGGGCCGAUCAGCCUGGGGCAGUACACGGGCGGGCCCCAGGACCUCGGGUGGCUGCAGAUGGUGCAGCCAGUGAUCCAGGAGAGGAUCGAGCGCUACUCACAGAGCGAGAUCAGGUUCAACCUCAUGGCCAUCAUAAAGAACAGGAAGGACGUGUACACUGCCGAGCUGAAGGAGCUGGAGAAGAAGAGGGAGCAGAUCCUGCAGGAGCUGAGCAACGAGGCCACAGCCGCUGCAGAAAAGGAGCCCCUGAACGGCGCGCUGGCGGAGGUGGCGUUGGCGGUGGAGGCCGUGGGCGAGAAGAUCGCGAUGGAGGAGGACAAGUUCAGGAAGUGGAAGACGGAGAACGUCCGGAGGAAGCACAACUACAUCCCGUUCCUGUUCAACCUCCUCAAGGCGCUGGCGGAGAAGAAGCAGCUGACGCCGCUCGUCGAGAAGGCCAGGCAGCAGAAGGCCCCCGCCGCCGCCGGCGCCGCCGGCGCCAGCACGAGCUGA